rnacentral:rRNA from 1 species
UACGGGGGUGGCAAGCGUUGUUCGGAAUUACUGGGCGUAAAGGGCGCGUAGGCGGCUUUUCAAGUCGGGCGUGAAAUCUCCAGGCUUAACCUGGAAGGGUCGUUCGAUACUGUUAAGCUAGAGUGUGGAAGAGGCUACUGGAAUUCCGUGUGUAGCGGUGAAAUGCGUAGAUAUCUGGAGGAACACCGGUGGCGAAGGCGGGUCUCUGGGCAAUUCCUGACGCUGAGGCGCGAAAGCGUGGGGAGCAAACGGG